GAGGUGAAAGCAACAAGGAAGAAGCCUCCAGAAAACUAUGGGUUGUCAAUCACUUCCUUUUCCUUCUGUCAUCUCCGAAGCAGGUGACGACUUGUGUCCUGGACCUAUUUGGAAGGACAUGAUCUGAAACUUCAUUCGUGGAUUAAGAUGAGGAGGUUUGACAGUAGUAAUCUGAGCUGCUCGGAAACAAGAGAGCAGAGACACGAGAGGGACAAGUAACAGGGCAUGUCGAGACGGCAAGAUUGACUGGUCCGAAACCUGCGGUCGCAUGCGAGAAUGAUGCAUGGGAUGCACACAAAGACACGUGGAAAGCAGUACGGGCUUUCAAGUGAUGCCCAUAUAACGGCCCAAUAAAAGCCGCGGGUAAAACCCAUCUUGUCGAACAAUUCGACCUAAAGGGGACACGAAAGGGGUUCGCACACCUAUGGAAGGAAUUCGCAGGCGAUACGUUGCACCGCACUCGCUUAACCGACCUGAUCAUAAUUCGCGAUUCCAGUGGGUCCCGGUGGGAGCCAUCUCAGAUCCAUUCAUGAGAAAGGUAGCGUACUUUGGACAGCGUGAACGGGUAUCAAAAGCACAACCGGAAAAGGUAUUCCAUAUCAGGCUCUCUCAACCAAGGCUUCGAACAGGGAAAUAAUAGCCUUCUCACCGAUCGGAGAAAUCGGGACCCACAGGAGACUACCGCCACUAAUCUAUGCGACAAGAAGAACAGGGGCCCAACCGGAAGGAAACGCAUUCCCCGCCAAGCCAAGAAAAGAGUUCAAACCCCUUUCUUGCUCUUCGCUCUGUGACAUCGACGCGAACGGUGAGCCGAUGAAAAGGGAUAGGAGACCAGAUGACAACGGUAGCGACAACGAAGGGGGAGCGUCGCCGGAGAAGAAGGCGAAUCUGGAGGAGACACCAACGAGAUCAUUAUCCGCAAGCUGUCGAAUAAACGGAGGGUUUCCGUGAGGAAAUGGAAGGCGGUGGCCGUGGUGUACUUCCGAGAAUUGUACUUCAAGAAGGGCAAACCGCAUCCGGGGAUGAAAGGCAUAUCACUGUCUGCAGACCAGGUACUCGUCACUACAUUAUUGUGGUGGUGCUUUUCAUCAUAUCAUGGUUUUACGUUCUGGAUAAUUCUCCAAUGGUUUGUGAAGUUAAGCCAUCUCAGGAGCUCAAUGAUCACAUUCUCUCUUUUCAUUUUUAUGCUGUUCUAAAAUUUUCUUGUAACUACACUGCAGAACUUUGAUUGUGUGGUCUAAUUUCCAUUUUCAUAUUUUGCCAAUCUCAUUUUGAUCUUUUCUUGUUCUUGUCAGAUGAAGGGGAAUACACUGUGAACAUAUUGAAGAUAUCAUAGGCUUCUUAUUGGUGAGAGAAGUAUAACUUGGGAAUGUUUCCUGUUGCGAAUUUUGAUUUGUGGUGUAAAUGCGAAUAUGGAACAACAUUUGAAGUAAACACUGCUGAGACGAGCUAUCAUAAUAGACUAACCCCAUUUUGUGCAAAACUUGUCCAUGAGGAGUCGUCCAAAUCUUCAUUUCGAUGAUUGACAUGUUAAACCAUGAAAUGAUUGAGGGGAAUCCGUGGACAAAUAAAGGUACCUAUUCACAUGUGAUUGUGGAAGAAAAAUCUUGUAUGGUUGACAAUUUCGA